rnacentral:rRNA from 1 species
AUUCAGUUGGGCUUCCGGGGCAGCACUGGCCGAUUGACCAAAACGGAUCCCAGAACUGGGCCGGGUCGGCUNUGCACGUCACGGUUCUCGACGCAUUUUCUCCCGCUCAGAGGACGCCGUAGCCGGUUGGGAAGAGUCGACGGACUAAAGGAUGAGCGUUGGCAGGUGGCCGGUGGCGUGGCUUCGGCUGUGUCGUCGGUUGUUAGCCUGUUCGUCCGGUCUCGUCGCCCGACCGAGGUUAUUAGUGGUCCGAAUGGACCCGUUGUAUUGUCGCCUCCUCCCUUUAGCAGGAGAGCCGGGAUUAGAACGCAGCAAGCGUUCGUAGUUGGCGCGGCCGCACUCUCUGACUGAGUGGGCCAGUGCUUUCGCGACGUUGAUGAGCUACGUCGUGCCCGUGGGAGUGCUGGCGGCUAGCGGCGAGUAGAUCGGUCACCCACCCGACCCGGUCUUGAAACACGGACCAAGGAGUCUAACAUGUGCGCGAGUCAAUGGGUCUUGACCAGGCCCAGAGGCGCAAUGAAAGCAAAGGGCGGCGAACGCCGUCUGAGUUGGGAUCCUGGGGCUUUCCAGCGUCCAAGGAGCACCAACGACCCGUCCUGUCCGAUUUAUCUCGGUUGGGCGGAGUAUGAGCGUACACGUUGGGACCCGAAAGAUGGUGAACUAUGCCCGGGCAGGACGAGGCCAGAGGAAACUCUGGUGGAGGUCCGUAGCGGUUCUGACGUGCAAAU